rnacentral:lncRNA from 1 species
ACUGUGGAUUCAGGCAGUGGUUCAGUCUCUAUAACUAGCUGUGGAUUCAGGCAGUGGUUCAGUCUCUAUAACUAACUGUGGAUACAGGCAGUGGUUCAGUCUCUAUAACUAACGGUGGAUUCAGGCAGUGGUUCAGUCUCUAUAACUAACUGUGGAUUCAGGCAGUGGUUAAGUCUCUAUAACUAACUGUGGAUACAGGCAGUGGUUAAGUCACUAUAACUAGCUGUGGAUUUGGGCAGUGGUUCAAUCUCUAUAGCUAAUUGUGGAUUCAGGCAGUGGUUCAGUCUCUAUAACUAACUGUGGAUUCAGGCAGUGGUUCAGUCUCUAUAACUAACUGUGGAUUCAGGCAGUGGUUCAGUCUCUAUAACUAACUGUGGAUUCAGGCAGUGGUUCAGUCUCUAUAACUAGCUGUGGAUUCAGGCAGUGGUUCAGUCUCUAUAACUAACUGUGGAUUUGGGCAGUGGGUCGGGGUGAGUGGCCCCGUUACCUCUGAGGAAUGUUCGGUGACCUUUUGACCCCACCAGACUCCAAGGGUGUUAGCCCCACUGACAGCACACACACACACACACACACACACACACACACACACACACACACACACACACACACACACACACACACACACACACACACACACACACACACACACACACACACACACACACACACACACACACACUCUACAGGCUGCAGCAGAGCAGAGGCCAUUUGGUGCUCCCAAUAAAUUAUUUACCCCUACCCCCAAAC